GAAUUUUCAGGUAAUAAACAGUUUUAUGAUCCCAAUUACUUUUAUAAAUUGAGGGAAAUCUAUAAUUUUUUAAAUAAAUAUACAGAUAUAUAGGAAGUCCUUUAUUUAUGAUGGUGUGAAUUAUGAUCCAUACUUACAACUGCAAUUAUUUAUUAUGAAAAUCUUUACUUACGAUGGUCUCAGCUAUUUUGCAAUAAUGACAGCAGUUGACCAGAUGGCCAAGUAGUCACAAGGAUUAAAGUAUGCUGUGUUAUCACUCUAAAGUAUUUGUAUUUAAUCUGGGUCUCUAACCUCCAGAUUUUUUAGAUUUGCAGGCUUAGCCCAUUCAACCAUCCUUUACACUUGUGAUGAUAAUGGGUGGUCAUUGUGCAACAUUUCCAUUGUCGCGGAAUUCUGAGCCCCGUCCCCUCAGCAUCUCUUUUCUUUGUAGUAUUAAGACUAAUCUGUAUUUUAAGUUCUCUAGAUUCAUACCAGUGCAAUGUAGCUUCGACGGCAUCCAACAAAUACUCCAUUAUCAUUAGAAACAAACUUUUUAUUAAACGUAGUUAACUAGUAAUGCAAAACCAAAAUCAAGAAUUCCAGCACUUCUCAAUAAUACUCUUAUCAAUAAUAAUAUCAUUCACUUUAAAAAACAUCAAAACAAAAACACUUACAGUAUCAAGUCCACAAUACCACAUACAAUUUUACUUUAAAACCAUAACUGAGGUUCAAACCGUUGCCAACAACCUCGUACAAAGAAGAGAAGUUCCUAGUGCCAUCCUAUGGCAGUUUUUUUAUACAUCCAAAUAAUUAGCAUAAUUUUAACCAUAAACAAAAACACAAUUAUUUUAAAUACUUUAAACUAAAUUAUUUUUUCUCCAUAACAAAACAUCUUCCCAUAUUAUUAAAUAGUUGAAAUAAUCAAAUAAAUUGGUAAAAAAACAAAUUUUUAUAAAUCAUAACAUCAAACAUAAUGACGUCAUCUACUUGACAAGGAACGGUCGACAAGUGCACCUGUAUCCAAAUCCUUACAACAUAAAUGUACUACAAGUUUAACUUAGGUCAUCUUCAGCAACCGAUCAUUUAGUGAAAUAUAUACAUGAACACGAUAUACACAUAGUAUUAAUACAGGAACCAUAUGCAAAAGAAUAUAUACUAGGGUUUCUGCAUCGUUUCAGAGUGUACACUUCGGGCAUAGCUAGUGGUAGUUGUCACAAAUAAUGAUGUCAAGGCAUCACUUAUUCUGAAAAUGACUAACGAGAUUACUACAUCC
rnacentral:lncRNA from 1 species